rnacentral:rRNA from 1 species
UGGAUCCAGACUUUGAUUCUGGCUCAGGACGAACGCUGGCGGCGUGCCUAACACAUGCAAGUCGAACGGAACUUUUUCAGAAGAUUCUUUCGGGAUGAUUUUGGUUAAGUUUAGUGGCGGACGGGUGAGUAACGCGUGAGUAACCUGCCUUUGAGAGGGGAAUAACAAUCUGAAAAGAUUGCUAAUACCGCAUAACAUAUACGAAUCGCAUGGUUUGUAUAUCAAAGAUUUUAUCGCUCAAAGAUGGACUCGCGUCCGAUUAGUUAGUUGGUGAGGUAACGGCUCACCAAGACCGCGAUCGGUAGCCGGACUGAGAGGUUGAACGGCCACAUUGGGACUGAGACACGGCCCAGACUCCUACGGGAGGCAGCAGUGGGGGAUAUUGCGCAAUGGGGGCAACCCUGACGCAGCAACGCCGCGUGAAGGAUGAAGGUUUUCGGAUUGUAAACUUCUUUUAUUAAGGGCGAAUAAUGACGGUACUUAAUGAAUAAGCUCCGGCUAACUACGUGCCAGCAGCCGCGGUAAUACGUAGGGAGCAAGCGUUGUCCGGAUUUACUGGGUGUAAAGGGUGCGUAGGCGGCUUUGCAAGUCAGAUGUGAAAUCUAUGGGCUCAACCCAUAAACUGCAUUUGAAACUGUAGAGCUUGAGUGAAGUAGAGGCAGGCGGAAUUCCCCGUGUAGCGGUGAAAUGCGUAGAGAUGGGGAGGAACACCAGUGGCGAAGGCGGCCUGCUGGGCUUUAACUGACGCUGAGGCACGAAAGCGUGGGUAGCAAACAGGAUUAGAUACCCUGGUAGUCCACGCUGUAAACGAUGAUUACUAGGUGUGGGGGGUCUGACCCCUUCCGUGCCGGAGUUAACACAAUAAGUAAUCCACCUGGGGAGUACGGCCGCAAGGUUGCAACUCAAAGGAAUUGACGGA